rnacentral:rRNA from 1 species
GAUGAACGCUAGCGGCAGGCCUCAUACAUGCAAGUCGAGGGGCAACAGGACACUUCGGUGUUGCUGGCGACCGGCGCACGGGUGCGUAACACGUAUGCAAUCUACCUUGUACUGGAGAAUAGCUCUCGGAAACGAGGAUUAAUACUCCAUAUUAUCCCAUUCGCGCAUGCUAGCGAGAUGAAAGCUCCGGCGGUACAAGAUGAGCAUGCGGCCCAGUAGCUAAUUGGUGAGGUAACGGCUCACCAAGGCGACGAAGGGUAGGGGUUCUGAGAGGAAGAUCCCCCACACUGGCACUGAAACGCGUGACAGACUCCUAGGGGAGGCAGCAUUAGGGAAUAUUGGUCAAUGGGCGCAAGCCUGGACCAGCCAUGGCGCGUGCAGGAUGAAGGCCCUCUGGGUUGUAAACUGCUUUUAUAUGGGGAUAAAGUGUGAGACUUGUCUCAUUUUGCAUGUACCAUAUGAAUAAGCAUCGGCUAACUCCGUGCCAGCCGCCGCGGUAACAC